ACAUAGAUCAGGGGUAGGGAACCAUUGGCAUUCCAGAUGUUGUGGACUACAUCUCCCAUAAUGCUCUUACAUUUAUAAUGAUGACAAGUCAUCAUGGGAAAUCUGGAGUGAUGUUGGAUCCCUAACAUCAGGAGUGCCAAAGGUUACCUACCCCUGACAUCCAUAU